rnacentral:lncRNA from 1 species
AAUGUAAAUACCCUUUCUACCUGUGCCAACCCCUGGUCAGUGGGGGCAGAAGAGAAUCCAGGGUUAAAGGGAGGGAGUCGACGCUCCCCGGCCCUCCCCUCAGCCCUAGACUUGUUUUGAUCUGUGUGUGCCGUGUGUGAACUUCCACGAGACAGUAUUAAAAACAUUUUAGUGGAUUUAUCACCCGCAGUUCCAAAGACCACAGCUCAGAGAACACCCAGCGUUCUGUUCCCGGUUCACUUUUCAUCUUGUCGUCCCCCCAAACCGGUGGGGGGGUGGGGGUGGGGGGUGGCGUGGCACCAGCAGAGAAAAAAAGUCAGAGGAGAUAGUUUCCCAUGCCAACAGAGAAAAGAGGGACCCCCAAGCUUUACUGUAGGUCCUUAGCCCUAGCAUCUGGGAGGAGAGUCAGGAGUUCAAAGCCGUACUCUACUCUGUAGAAAGUUAGAGGCCAGUCUGGGCUACAGUGAACCCUGCCACCAAAAAGAGAGAGAAGGAACUGGGCUGGAGAAGACCUAGAGUGUUACUACCAAGGGGGUUUCCAAUCCCACUUCUCCCUCCCUCCUACACUGGGCUUGGGGCAUUGGGGAAGAGGGUCUUGCGAAGAUGUGGAUGAUGGCAGACCACAGUGAAGAAGCUAAUCAAAGAUGGGGUGCCUGGAGCAGGGGAAGAACAGCAACUGCUCAGUGCUCCUGGCCUGAGGCUGGACAACUUACAUCAGAGUCCCUCGUGAAGGCAAGGAGCAGAGAGCCCUGGGAGCACCUGGGAGGACGGUCAGCAGAGCCUCUAGUCUACCUGGAGCAACCGUAGCUAACCCUAGGCCGGGAGAGAGGCCUCUGUGAGAGGGGACUGGGGAACAGGCAGGGCGGGUGUCCUGUUUCACUGCACACAGAGCACGAUGUCACUCCAGGUUUGUUCAUUCAUAAGACAUGGCCAUGACACACAGGGUGGCUUGUGAGAUGUGCCCAGAUUAGUCUCUGACCCUGAAUCCAGACAGAAAAUCUUUCAUUGAGGCUGGGGUAGGGUACAGAUAUCACAGGUUGGGACACUCCAGGUCUCAUGUGUCUUUUCUAAUCAUAGUUCCUACAGAUUUAAUUUAUGUGCAUCUAUGUAUAUGUUAUGUGUUUGCUUGUGUAUAUAUACAUGAGGAUGUGCACUGAUCCCCAAAGAGACCGUCGGGGUACGCUGCAGCUGGAGUGACAGGGGUUGUAACCACCUGCUGUGGGUGCUGGGACCUGAACCCAGCCAGGCCUCUGAAAGAACAGCAAGCGAUAACCACUGAGCAGCCUCCACCAGUGUGCUUAAAGGAUUUCAUGUGUAACAUCUCCUUCCUUGUCCCCUGAUCAGCUUUCCUCUUGAGCUGGAAAGUGCUACCGUGACAAGCGUCUGUGUGUGACGCCUCUCUUUCAAGUCUACUUUCUUGAUUCCUUGAAAUCCCCUUCAGUUAUUUACACUGUUGAAUCUCAAAGAUUCGAAAAACCAGUGAUUACAAAAACCAGUGAUUUUUCAAAAUAGUUUGCUUGUCCCAGCCCUUUUGUGCCUGUCUUGUCUACCCACCCCCACUCUUUAUUUAUUUACUUAUUUAAAUAUUUGAGGCAAUGCCUCAUCUACCCAGUUAAACUCAGCAGGUAGCUAGCUGAGGACAGCCAUGAACCUGUGAAAUACUGCUUCCACCUCCGAAGAGAAUGGAUGAUAGGUGCUAACAAUCCUUGUCUUUCUCCACUUCCCUGUAUCUGUCUCUAGGUUCUAUUUUUCUUCUCUGAGGCUCUUCUUCAACCACUUGUCAGUGGUGGCUCACACCUUUAAUCCCAGCACUCAGGAGGCAGAGACAAUUGGAUCUCUAAGUUCAAGGCCGGCCUGAUCUACAGAGUGAGUUCCAGGACAGCCAGGGCUGCACAGAGAAACCCUGUCUCAAAUAAACAAACAAACAAACAAAUAAAUAAAUAAAUAGCCGGGCGGGCUUGGUGGUGCACGCCUUUGAUCCCAGCACUCGGGAGGCAGAGGCAGGCAGAUUUCUGAGUUCAAGGCCAGCCUGGUCUACAAAAGUGAGUUCCAGGACAGCCAAGCCUACACAGAGAAACCCUGUCUCCAAGAACAGACAGACAGACAGACAGACAGGAAGGAAGGAAGGAAGAAAGUAAGAAAGAAAGAAAGAAAGAAAGAAGGAAAGAAAGAAAGAAAGAAAGAAAG